GAGGGGAUGGCUCAGUGGUAGAGUGCCUGCCUAGCGUGCAUAAGGUCCUGAGUUCGAUCCCUAGUACCUCCA
rnacentral:tRNA from 1 species